rnacentral:lncRNA from 1 species
AGAGAUCUAUCUAGAUAAAAAUGACCCAUCAAGUAUCAACUAUAAUAUAAAGAUCAUAAUCUGCUUCGAAAAUGCCUAAAACAAUUCUAUUACAAAUAUACGUUAAACCAAAAGGAACAUCCAUAAAUGGGUUUGUUUAAGUCAACUCCAAUACUCGUUUUGCUUUUGUCUAUAAUCAGUUAUGCAUAUCAAGAAAGCAGCAGCAGCACCGAAGCCAGGACAGUGCCAACCCCCUUCCUAUCUCCUCAGCAAGGUAAGAACAAUUUUGUAUUGAUCCAAACAAUUUGACACCUCCACUUAGUUGUGUCUAUUUUUUUGGCCUUCUCUUUAAUUCAUUUGUGGGUCUUGUUCAUUUUACAGUAAUCAAGUUAAUUCUUAAAAUUUGUUCUUUUUUUUUUUUUUUAUUAUUAUUAUUGGAGUAAUCAAGCUAAUUCUUAAAUUUGUAGUGAAACACUCGAAGGCUUUUUCAACUUUUGGGCUGGUCUGCCGGUGUUGCGACGGUGGAGGAAGCUCCAUUGGUGGUGGAGAAUGUACAAAUUCAUGGAUCGGGUCUUGCUCCAAUCUCCAGUGUCUUCCAUGGAAAUUACACUAACAAAAUUGUUGAGUAAAAUCUCUUUUGUACAGAAUAGUCUACGAUCACUUUGAUUACAAAUUUUGUAACAAGUGUCUGAAGCAAUAUUAUUGAAUAACAACAAAACGACAAAUUAAUUUUAUAUUGUUACUAUAACAUAAGCCCUUGUUUGAAUCCCAUUCGACGGCCUAUUUGAUUUCAUCCUCGACUUAUCUCGUGUCUUUAUAUGAAGAUCAACAUUUUCUCGAAAUUACAAAUCGACUCCACCGGCAUAGACAUAAUUAAAAAAAGAAGAAAGCAUAUUUUAUUAAGAAAUUCGUU